GACGAACGCUGGCGGCGUGCUUAACACAUGCAAGUCGAACGGUGAAGCGCCUUCCUUUUUGGUGGGUGUGGAUGAGUGGCGAACGGGUGAGUAACACGUGAGUAACCUGCCCCCUUCUUCUUGAUAACCGCAUGAAGGUGUGGCUAAUACGGGAUAUUCUGAGUCUGUCGCAUGAUGGGUCUGGGACAGAUAUUGUUUCGGUGGGGGAUGGGCUCGCGGCGGAUCAGCUUGUUGGUGGGGUGAUGGCCUACCAAGGCGGCGAUGAGUAGCCGGCCUGAGAGGGGGGUGGACGACACCAGAGGGAAGGAGAGACCGAGCAGACUCCGAGAGGAGGCAGUAGGGGAGCAUACGGAACGGUGGGAGGAAGGAUGAUGCAGCGACGCGGGGUGAGGGAUGGAGGCCGGCGGGUUGAGAACCGCUUUCGCGAGUGAAGCAGGCUGGACGCGAUUGUGGGUGGGUUGACGGUAGCUGGACAAGAAGCGCCGGCUAACUACGUG
rnacentral:rRNA from 1 species